AGAGUUUGAUCCUGGCUCAGAUUNNNNNCUGGCGGCAUGCCUUACACAUGCAAGUCGAACGGCAGCACGGGGGCAACCCUGGUGGCGAGUGGCGAACGGGUGAGUAAUACAUCGGAACGUGUCCUGUAGUGGGGGAUAGCCCGGCGAAAGCCGGAUUAAUACCGCAUACGAUCUACGGAUGAAAGCGGGGGGAUCUUCGGACCUCGCGCUAGAGGGGCGGCCGAUGGCAGAUUAGCUAGUUGGUGGGGUAAAGGCCCACCAAGGCGACGAUCUGUAGCUGGUCUGAGAGGACGACCAGCCACACUGGGACUGAGACACGGCCCAGACUCCUACGGGAGGCAGCAGUGGGGAAUUUUGGACAAUGGGGGCAACCCUGAUCCAGCAAUGCCGCGUGUGUGAAGAAGGCCUUCGGGUUGUAAAGCACUUUUGUCCGGAAAGAAAACAUCCUGGUUAAUACCUGGGGUGGAUGACGGUACCGGAAGAAUAAGCACCGGCUAACUACGUGCCAGCAGCCGCGGUAAUACGUAGGGUGCGAGCGUUAAUCGGAAUUACUGGGCGUAAAGCGUGCGCAGGCGGUUCGCUAAGACCGAUGUGAAAUCCCCGGGCUUAACCUGGGAACUGCAUUGGUGACUGGCGGGCUAGAGUAUGGCAGAGGGGGGUAGAAUUCCACGUGUAGCAGUGAAAUGCGUAGAGAUGUGGAGGAAUACCGAUGGCGAAGGCAGCCCCCUGGGCCAAUACUGACGCUCAUGCACGAAAGCGUGGGGAGCAAACAGGAUUAGAUACCCCGGUAGUCC
rnacentral:rRNA from 1 species